rnacentral:lncRNA from 1 species
AAAUAAUAGCAGUAGUAAAUAUGGUAUUGAAAUCUUUCUAAAUUCAAAAUUUAAGUCUCAAAUUUAUGCAUAUAUGGAGAUUCCAACUUUAAUAUAAAUAAAAAAUCAGUAGUUAUGAUAACAAAUGAUACUGAGUGUUAUUUGAUGGUACUUUUUUGUUCCUGAAUUGGCCAAACAAAAUUCAACUUUAUUCCGGAUAUAAACCAAACAACUAAUAUUUGGAAAAUUUGAUAGCUAAAAAAGUUUCUAAAAGUUAU